UAAAUGCAUACUCAACUCUACAAUCUUCUC
rnacentral:piRNA from 1 species